rnacentral:rRNA from 1 species
AGCGAACGCUGGCGGCAGGCCUAACACAUGCAAGUCGAACGAACUCUUCGGAGUUAGUGCCGGACUGGUGAGUAACACGUGGGAACGUGCCUUUUGGUUCGGAAUAACCCAGGGAAACUUGUGCUAAUACCGAAUGUGUCCCUCGGGGGAAAGAUUUAUCGCCAUUGGAGCGGCCCGCGUCUGAUUAGCUAGUUGGUGAGGUAACGGCUCACCAAGGCGGCGAUCAGUAGCUGGUCUGUGAGGAUGACCCGCCACACUGGGACUGAGACGCGGCCCGGACUCCUACGGAAGGCAGCAGUGGCGGAUCUAGCGCAACGGGCGGAAGCAUGAAGCAGCCAUGCCGGGUGAGUGAUGAAGGUCUUAGGAUUGUAAAAUUCUUUAACCGGGGACGAUAAUGACGGUACCCGGAGAAGAAGCCCCGGCUAACUUCGUG